rnacentral:misc_RNA from 1 species
GGAAGAAGGAAUGGAGAUACUUUCUGCACUAUCUUGGCUGGAAUAAAAAUUGGGACGAAUGGGUAAGCGUAGAUCGGCUGAUGAAAUGUACUGAUGAGAACCGUUUGAAGCAGCGAGCCCUUGAGAAAGGGUAUGUAGAAAAGAGCUCAAAGUCUGGACGCUCUGCACAAGCAAAGCCGAAAAACUCAAUCGAUGCAAGAGUGGAGAAAGAGGACCACAAGAACAAUGCACCAAAGGGGAAGAAA